AAUAGCCGUGUUUCGAGUUACUCCGGAACACAGUGUUUAUUCUGUGUUUAGUCACGCCGCGUCAAAAAUGUUCCACAGGGUUACUUCCGGUUUAUCGUUGUUUACCUUUGUUUACCAACAGUCGACACUUCGUGUAUUAGGCCUAGGCUUAAUUUUGUCGAUCAUCAUGAAAUUGAAAUACACAUUUAAUAGUUUGGGGUGUAUGCGGUACAUAUUUGUUUAUGAGCGUUUGAUAAGCUACUAUUGAUCUACGAAAUACAACGAAAGACUUCGUCAAGAACAGAAGAAGACGAUGUCGUGUAACUCGCACAAGGCCCAGCUGUCUAGUAACCGGAGGGGUAAAGGAAAAGAACGUAUUAGACUCACUGAAACCUGUCAAACAGGUAUAUGGGAACAGGAUCAUUUUCCAUGCCUUUCACUUGAGGUCUUCAGUUUCAUCAUUAAUCAUCUGAAUGUCGGUAUGCUAAACUCUCAUGAUGUCAUGCCAUUACUGGAUAUUCCUUAACACUGGUUUAUUUAAGCCACACUACCUAUAACAUUGCCAAAAUAUUAGACUGAAAAUUUUCAAAUACACAAGAUUUGAAGCAGCAAAAGAAAAGAAUUACAUAUGUAUAACACACAAAAAAGAAGAAAUUAAUUCUCACCUGGCUGAUAUGAACUUUUUACUCCUUUUUAGCUCCCUUUCACUGCAUACCAGCCAAUAACUAGCAGUCAUUAUAUGCAGAUCAACCAUUGUUAUCAACCUGUGUAUAUAUAUGUUGAAUAAAAUAUGAAUGAAAA